AUGUACAAUUCAGUAAUACUGGCUAUGUUUUCACAUGAAAAUGAAAAUGAAAUGAUGAGUGGUAAGUUACCUCUUCUCCAUUGCCCUCAGUGGCUACGUAUGCAUGAGAGAGACAAACAGCAAGGCUUUUUAACCUCUGGUCCAUUGAGAUUCAAGACACUCACACAAACACACACACACGCAAUGAUUUACACUGCAACUAAAGCUAAAAAGCAUACCCACUACCCACAAAAGCAUACCCACUACCCCCAAAAGCUAAAUAAAAAAAUCCUCCUAUAUCCUGUCGCACACAGUAUACCACCGCACAACAGUAUACCACCGCACAACAGUAUACCACCGCACAACAGUAUACCACCGCACAACAGUAUACCACCGCACAACAGUAUACCACCACACAACAGUAUACCACCGCACAACAGUAUACCACCACACAACAGUAUGCCACCGCACAACAGUAUACCACCACACAACAGUAUGCCACCACACAACAGUAUACCACCACACAACAGUAUACCACCACACAACAGUAUACCACCGCACAACAGUAUGCCACCGCACAACAGUAUACCACCGCACAACAGUAUACCACCACACAACAGUAUGCCACCGCACAACAGUAUGCCACCGCACAACAGUAUACCACCACACAACAGUAUACCACCACACAACAGUAUACCACCACACAACAGUAUGCCACCACACAACAGUAUACCACCACACAACAGUAUACCACCGCACAACAGUAUACCACCGCACAACAGUAUGCCACCGCACAACAGUAUACCACCGCACAACAGUAUACCACCACACAACAGUAUGCCACCACACAACAGUAUGCCACCGCACAACAGUAUGCCACCGCACAACAGUAUACCACCGCACAACAGUAUACCACCGCACAACAGUAUGCCACCGCACAACAGUAUACCACCGCACAACAGUAUACCACCACACAACAGUAUGCCACCACACAACAGUAUGCCACCGCACAACAGUAUGCCACCGCACAACAGUAUGCCACCGCACAACAGUAUGCCACCGCACAACAGUAUACCACCACACAACAGUAUACCACCGCACAACAGUAUACCACCACACAACAGUAUACCACCGCACAACAGUAUACCACCGCACAACAGUAUGCCACCGCACAACAGUAUACCACCGCACAACAGUAUGCCACCGCACAACAGUAUGCCACCGCACAACAGUAUACCACCGCACAACAGUAUACCACCACACAACAGUAUGCCACCACACAACAGUAUGCCACCACACAACAGUAUGCCACCACACAACAGUAUACCACCGCACAACAGUAUACCACCACACAACAGUAUACCACCACACAACAGUAUACCACCACACAACAGUAUACCACCACACAACAGUAUACCACCACACAACAGUAUACCACCACACAACAGUAUGCCACCACACAACAGUAUACCACCACACAACAGUAUACCACCACACAACAGUAUGCCACCACACAACAGUAUACCACCACACAACAGUAUACCACCGCACAACAGUAUACCACCGCACAACAGUAUACCACCACACAACAGUAUGCCACCGCACAACAGUAUGCCACCGCACAACAGUAUGCCACCGCACAACAGUAUACCACCGCACAACAGUAUACCACCGCACAACAGUAUACCACCGCACAACAGUAUACCACCACACAACAGUAUACCACCACACAACAGUAUACCACCGCACAACAGUAUACCACCGCACAACAGUAUGCCACCGCACAACAGUAUGCCACCGCACAACAGUAUGCCACCGCACAACAGUAUGCCACCGCACAACAGUAUACCACCGCACAACAGUAUACCACCGCACAACAGUAUGCCACCGCACAACAGUAUGCCACCGCACAACAGUAUGCCACCACACAACAGUAUACCACCACACAACAGUAUACCACCACACAACAGUAUGCCACCGCACAACAGUAUACCACCGCACAACAGUAUGCCACCACACAACAGUAUACCACCGCACAACAGUAUACCACCGCACAACAGUAUACCACCGCACAACAGUAUGCCACCGCACAACAGUAUACCACCGCACAACAGUAUACCACCACACAACAGUAUACCACCACACAACAGUAUACCACCACACAACAGUAUACCACCACACAACAGUAUACCACCGCACAACAGUAUGCCACCGCACAACAGUAUACCACCGCACAACAGUAUGCCACCACACAACAGUAUACCACCACACAACAGUAUACCACCACACAACAGUAUACCACCACACAACAGUAUACCACCACACAACAGUAUACCACCACACAACAGUAUGCCACCACACAACAGUAUACCACCACACAACAGUAUACCACCACACAACAGUAUACCACCGCACAACAGUAUACCACCGCACAACAGUAUACCACCGCACAACAGUAUACCACCGCACAACAGUAUACCACCACACAACAGUAUGCCACCGCACAACAGUAUGCCACCGCACAACAGUAUGCCACCGCACAACAGUAUACCACCACACAACAGUAUGCCACCACACAACAGUAUACCACCACACAACAGUAUACCACCACACAACAGUAUGCCACCACACAACAGUAUACCACCACACAACAGUAUACCACCGCACAACAGUAUACCACCACACAACAGUAUGCCACCGCACAACAGUAUGCCACCGCACAACAGUAUGCCACCGCACAACAGUAUACCACCGCACAACAGUAUACCACCGCACAACAGUAUACCACCGCACAACAGUAUACCACCGCACAACAGUAUACCACCACACAACAGUAUACCACCACACAACAGUAUACCACCGCACAACAGUAUACCACCGCACAACAGUAUGCCACCGCACAACAGUAUGCCACCGCACAACAGUAUGCCACCGCACAACAGUAUGCCACCGCACAACAGUAUGCCACCGCACAACAGUAUGCCACCGCACAACAGUAUGCCACCGCACAACAGUAUACCACCGCACAACAGUAUACCACCGCACAACAGUAUACCACCGCACAACAGUAUACCACCGCACAACAGUAUACCACCGCACAACAGUAUACCACCGCACAACAGUAUACCACCGCACAACAGUAUGCCACCGCACAACAGUAUACCACCGCACAACAGUAUACCACCGCACAACAGUAUGCCACCGCACAACAGUAUACCACCGCACAACAGUAUACCACCGCACAACAGUAUACCACCGCACAACAGUAUACCACCGCACAACAGUAUACCACCGCACAACAGUAUACCACCGCACAACAGUAUACCACCGCACAACAGUAUACCACCGCACAACAGUAUACCACCGCACAACAGUAUGCCACCGCACAACAGUAUGCCACCGCACAACAGUAUACCACCGCACAACAGUAUACCACCGCACAACAGUAUGCCACCGCACAACAGUAUGCCACCGCACAACAGUAUACCACCACACAACAGUAUACCACCGCACAACAGUAUACCACCGCACAACAGUAUGCCACCGCACAACAGUAUACCACCACACAACAGUAUGCCACCACACAACAGUAUGCCACCACACAACAGUAUGCCACCACACAACAGUAUGCCACCACACAACAGUAUGCCACCACACAACAGUAUACCACCACACAACAGCCCUACUGUAAGCUACAAGACUCCUCAUUUAUCAGAUACACCAGAGACAUUUUAG
ensembl:lncRNA